rnacentral:rRNA from 1 species
AACGGGUGAGUAACACGUGGGUGACCUGCCUUCGAGCGGGGGAUAACUGUCCCGAAAGGGACGCUAAUACCGCAUAACAUCCUGCCUUUGAAGAGGUGGAGAUCAAAGCCGGGGAUCCGCAAGGACCUGGCACUUGAAGAGGGGCCCUGCGCCUGAUUAGCUAGUUGGUGAGGUAAUGGCUCACCAAGGCAACGAUCAGUAUCCGGCCUAAGAGGGCGGACGGACACACUGGGACUGAGACACGGCCCAGAACUCCAUACGGGAGGCAGCAGUGGGGAAUCUUGCGCAAUGGGCGAAAGCCUGACGCAGCGACGCCGCGUACGGGAAGAAGGCCUUCGGGUUGUAAACCGUUUUCAGGAGGGACGAAGCCACUCGGGUUAACAGCCCAGAGGGUGACGGUACCUCCAGAAGAAGCCCCGGCUAACUACGUG